GACGAACGCUGGCGGCGUGCUUAACACAUGCAAGUCGAGCGGAAAGGCCCUUUCGGGGGUACUCGAGCGGCGAACGGGUGAGUAACACGUGAGUAAUCUGCCCUUGGCUUUGGGAUAACCACCGGAAACGGUGGCUAAUACCGGAUAUGACGGGCUCCGGCAUCGGGGUUCGUGGAAAGUUUUUUCGGCCAGGGAUGUGCUCGCGGCCUAUCAGCUUGUUGGUGGGGUAAUGGCCUACCAAGGCUUCGACGGGUAGCCGGCCUGAGAGGGUGACCGGCCACACUGGGACUGAGACACGGCCCCAGACUCCUACGGGAGGCAGCAGUGGGGAAUAUUGGACAAUGGGCGGAAGCCUGAUCCAGCAACGCCGCGUGAGGGAUGACGGCC
rnacentral:rRNA from 1 species